CCAAUAGCGUAUAUUAAAGUUGUUGCAGUUAAAAAGCUCGUAGUUGAAUUUCGAGACCGGUUUACUGGUCGUGCUUUUGUACGUACUGGUAUAAUCGGUUUCUCUUUUCUGACGAACUAUAAUGCCAUUAAUUUGGUGUUUUAGGAAAUCAGGACUGUUACUUUGAAAAAAUUAGAGUGUUUAAAGCAGGCUCACGCUUGAAUACAUUAGCAUGGAAUAACGAAAUAGGACGUUUGAUUUUAUUUUGUUGGUUUCUAGGAUCGACGUAAUGAUUAAUAGGGAUAGUUGGGGGCAUUAGUAUUCAAUUGUCAGAGGUGAAAUUCUUGGAUUUAUUGAAGACUAACUACUGCGAAAGCAUUUGCCAAGGAUGUUUUCAUUAAUCAAGAACGAAAGUUAGGGGAUCGAAGACGAUCAGAUACCGUCGUAGUCUUAACCAUAAACUAUGCCGACUAGGGAUCGGAUGAUGUUAAUUUUAAUGUCUCAUUCGGCACCUUACG
rnacentral:rRNA from 1 species